CCCUCUUCCCUCCUCCCUCCUCCCCUCCUCCCUUACCCCGAUCCGCAUAGCAGACAGUAAGCAAGCAAGCUAUGUCCUGGCCUGUGACACAGCAGUGAUGGGGACUGCUGACCUGGUUCAGGAGUUGGAGUCCAGUGAUGAUGUCUGCCAGGGCGAAGGGGGACUGUGGGGUUGCCCGGUGUGGAGGGCACACCAGGAAAGAGGGAGCUUGCCUGAGCUGGGGGCACAAAAGGAGCCCAUGAGUAGAGGUGGACGGGAGAGUGGGGAGAGGGGGCUCCCAGGCAGGACCAAGCCCCUGACCUGGCACUGCCUCUGAUGACUUCCUAGGGUCGUGCCGUCGAGGGAGGCGGUGGGGAGCAGUGGCAGCCAGGUGGUCUCCCAGCUGGUGUGGCAUCAGGGGUGGCAUGCAGUCGGGGCACCAGCUCUGGCUGUGUCAGCCGCUGCAGCCCGGCCCCUGCCGGUGGAGCCCGGGCCAGAGCCUUGUCUGAUGUUGCUCGGAGCCCGUGCCUUCCUCAGGCCCACGGGGACGGGACGAGGCUCUCUCCCACUGCACCCCCACACACUCCUCACCUCUGUCGAGCCUGUGCUUGGCACCUGGCAAGCCCACCACCCCAGCCCCUAUGUCUAAGUCCUUGGUGGGCUUCACAAUCCAGCUGCAGCGGCCCCUCCUCCAUGCAGCCUUCCUGACUCUGCCCACCUCCUUCUCCCCUGCCCAGCUGUAGGAUCUCUCCCUCUGUGUGGACCUACUGCGCAUUUGCCCCCAGGCCAGGUUUCGCCCUCUCGAGAGCAACAUCAGGCUUCCCAGUUGUGUAUUUCCCCACAGGACAGAGCCCAAGAGCAGAGCUCAGUCAGGCCAGGAGCGGGGAGCUGGGAGGGUGGGGCCAGCAGUGACCAGGGCUCAGGCUGGAGGUGGAGAGGCUGUAGGGCAGGUGAGGCUGUGGCCCCCGGGUGCCUGGCCCAGCUCUUCCAGUUGGCCCUGUGUGGAUGCCAGCGUCCAGCUUCCAUCCCACAGACUGGCUUGGGCCGCGUGUGUUCCCUGCUCUGUGUUCUGGUGGUAGGGCUCUCGGGCUGUGUGGCGGGUGGUGCCGCGUGACUGUGUUGGGUCCCCUCCAGACCCUGUGGACCGUGUCUCUGAGGUGGGGGUUCAGGCAUGAUCCCCUGCUCUUAGUGGUGCCUUCAGCCACGGGCGAAGAGGGCCUGCCCUGGCUGCCAUCCGUGGCCUCACCGUGUUAGAGCACCUGUGUUUCUGUUGAAGCUUUGAGCAUGGGCCUUACUGUUCAGAUUCUCCACAGAGGCAUUUGCCCUGUGGUGCCUGCCUUGCCUGUCAGCUUGCUGGGUGACUUGAAGGAGGGCCGGGCACUGCCAUCUCAGCGGCGUGCACACACCCUGAGGGGCCCUUUGCAGCAGGCUUGUUUCACGGUCAGGUGCAGAAUAGCCGAGCCGAGCAGCAGCCUCACUGCAGCCUUGGAGGGAGCGGGUGGAGCCCCAGCCGCCUGCCUCGGUUCCCGGACGCAGGUCUGUGGCCGAGCCAGGGCCUGAGAACGCGGCCCACAGCACGUGCGUUGUCUUUCUCAACAAGACACUCUCAGCAAGCGCUCAGGGCUCCCCAUGCGGGCGCCGUUUGAGCCCCAAGCCCUCUCUGCCCCGAGCUGAAGGCGGGGUGGUCCUUCUUUCUCGGCCCCAGCAGAGGGCAGCCUCAGUCCGAGGCUGGAGGAGGGAGCCACCAGAGAGGCCUCCUGGGCGCCGCUGCCCCGCUUCCUGGUCGGCUUUGGGGGGAGCUGCUGACCAGCCUUGUCCUGAGAGGGCACCGUUCAUAACCCACCUCGGGCACUCUGUGGCAGUGCAGCCUGACCCCUGCAGCCGCCUCUUUCUUCAAAAGUGGGUUCCCUGAGCACAGCAGUCAGAGGAGGGGCUGAGGAACCAGGAGCAGAGGUGGGGGUGGGACCGCCUUGCCGGGAGGAGGGGCAGAGGCGAGGGUUGGGUGCCCAGGCCCUGUCCUGGCUGUUGGUGGUGGGGCCUGGGAAGGGCCCAUCCCUGCCCUGGGCCUGGGUCCCCAGCUGUGGAACGGUGGGAUGCGGAGCGCCUGCGGGAUAUCCGGGCAGCUGCUGAUGGCAAAGCUCCGUCCAGGCUCACUCGAGGCUCUGCCCCUGGGGCUGCCCCCAUCCCAGCGUUUCUGCUUCAGGGCGUCUGGGCUGGGGCUGAGAAUCUGUAUUUCUAGCAGGUUCCCACACCGGGCUGCAUGUUUCCUCUUGUGCUGAUUCGGAAGGUUUUGUAGCUGUCACGUGGGGUGGAGCGAGGGGGGCUUCAGGAGACGGGGCCUGGAGCAACCUCGUGCCUGCUCCUGGAGUGGGGGUCCUGGCGUGGUCUCCAAGGCCCUCUCAGCCCACAUCCUGCAGCGUGAUCUUGGUCACGUCUCAGCCUUCCUGGGUCUUGGUUUCCGGCUGUGUGAUGGUGGGGCACCCGUCGGUGGUUCCCAUGCUGUGCCUGCAAGCUCGGGGGGUCCCAGCUGGCGGUGUGGGUCCCGUGUGGGUGAGCUGGUGCUAUGCCAGCCUGCUCCACCCCAAUCCACCAGCCGCUGUCCCCUCUGAUCUCACUUGGGGUCUGGGUAAGACCUGUCCUCCCUUUGUAGAGGUAUGAGGGGCACAGGGGGACCAAGGAGUGUUGCCAAGGACCCUCCUGGCCCUGGAUUCCAGGGUCUGCUGCCCGUGACCAGGUGGAGCAAGGCAGGCUGUGGGCCAAGGGCUGGUUGAGAGGCCUGGCUGUAGCCCUGUAGGGCAGAGUGGGCAGCCUCCGGGGCACGCCAGUGGUUUGGAAAUGACCCAGGGGCAGCACAUUAGCUGUGCCCAUGUCAGACCCUGGUCCAACUGGCAAUCUUGACACCUGGAGGAUGGGACGGGGGUCUGGGAAGGCCCCUUCCCUGCUGUGCACACAGCCCUGUAAGGCCCCUCCCACCAUUCUCUCCCCAGCUCACAUGGGAGACUCCACCACAGUCAGGUUCUCAGAGAGAUUCUAGUCCACUGGGGUCUGAGCAGGGCAAAGCCACACACUGCCUGCACUGAGAAGACCUCAGCUAGGACUCCCAAAGGGGCCAUUGUGGGCCUUGUGUGGAAGUGGGUUUGUAUUCCACUUACUGCCCCAGGCCUGGCUCCAGCAGAGCCCACUGGUCCUGAGGAGCGGCCCCUCCCUGCCUGGCCUUGGGGCCCUGCCUGCCUCACUGGACUCACUUCUUUGCUGUGUCCCACUUGGGGGCCAAGGAGCCCCAGGAUGGGGCAGGGACGUACUCCUGAUGACCAAGGAGUGCCUGGGCUGGGAGGACCCAGUGCUUUCUGAAGGGCGCACGGAAGGGAGUGGGUGCUGAUGCUGGUCCUGAUCCUGGGGCCAGGGGGUGAGGGGUGGGCGGGCUGUGUCUGCACACACACAGACGGAAGAGAAGGAAGGGGAGCAGAAGCAAGCUGAGGCCCUUUAGAGACUUUAGAGGCGGGAGACCGAGGGUCCAGCACGGGGCCGAAGGGUUGGGCCCACCAGGGACAAGGCUGAUGGGACCCAGUACAUAGCGGUCAUGAGGAUGUUAGCGAUGCUAGCGUGUGCUAGAUAGUGACGUGUACCCAGUAUAGUGACGCUGACAUGUACCAGAUAGUGAUGCUAACAUGUACCAGAUAGUGAUGCUGACCUGUGCCAGAUAGUGGUACUGAUGUGUACCAGAUAGUGACGUGUACCAGAUAGUGAUGCUGACGUGUACCAGAUAGUGACAUGUACCAGAUAGUGACGCUGAUGUGUACCAGAUAGUGGUGCUGAUGUACCAAAUAGUGACAUGUACCAGAUCGUGACGCUGACGUGUACCAGAUCAUGACGCUGAUGUUUACCAGACCUUGACGCUGACAUGUGCCAGAUAAUGAUGCUGAUGUGUACCAGAUAAUGACACGUACCAGAUAGUGACACUGAUGUGUAGCAGAUAAUGAUGCUGACGUGUACCAGAUAGCGAUGCUGAAAUGUACCAGAUGGCGGUGCUGACGUGUACCAGAUAGCGGUGCUGACGUGUACCAGAUGGCGGUGCUGACGUGUACCAGAUAGUGGUGCUGACGUGUACCAGAUAGUGGUGCUGACGUGUACCAGAUAGUGACGCUGACGUGUGCCAGCUCCAGGCCCUGUUCUCAUCACAUUCAAGUAUUAGCUCAUUUAAUCUGCAGAACAUCUUGAGUUAGGGCCAAUACUACCCCAUGGUACUGACAAGGAAACGGGGCCCAAAGCUGUCAGUGACAUCCUGAGGCCCCGCAGCUGUGAAGUGGCUCUGAGGCACUUGUUCCAGGCCAGGCUGCAGUGGCUCCAGCCCUGGCCAGCAGGCCUGACCCUCCACAGGACCCCAGAAUGUUUCAGGAAAGGGGAAAUCCCUCCCGGCCUUUGUCUUGGCUUCCAGGCCAUCUGCCUGGUCCGGCUGAGGACAGACGCAAGGCUCUCACAGCAGACCCCAGGGAGGGGAGUGUCUGCAGGGCUAGGGCCAGGGUGCUCCACAUGGGCUCGCACCCCAGCCCUGUGUGCAGCAAGAGCCUGGGGCCGUGAGCCCCAGCGUGCACCUGUCACGCUCCUCAGUUAUCUGCCCUGGGCCCUGUGCUGUGCUUGUUCUGACGUCUCCAUUUCUUCUGUGUGUGUAUGUAUGUGUCCUGGCUGC